rnacentral:rRNA from 1 species
GAUUCGUCACACUAUCAUUAACUGAAUCCAUAGGUUAAUGAGGCGAACCGGGGGAACUGAAACAUCUAAGUACCCCGAGGAAAAGAAAUCAACCGAGAUUCCCCCAGUAGCGGCGAGCGAACGGGGAGGAGCCCAGAGCCUGAAUCAGCAUGUGUGUUAGUGGAAGCGUCUGGAAAGGCGCGCGAUACAGGGUGACAGCCCCGUACACAAAAGCGCAUGUGCUGUGAGCUCGAUGAGUAGGGCGGGACACGUGGUAUCCUGUCUGAAUAUGGGGGGACCAUCCUCCAAGGCUAAAUACUCCUGACUGACCGAUAGUGAACCAGUACCGUGAGGGAAAGGCGAAAAGAACCCCGGCGAGGGGAGUGAAAAAGAACCUGAAACCGUGUACGUACAAGCAGUGGGAGCCCCACCACCAAAGCAUUCUCUGGUGUUGAAGGCCCUGCAAAGCAGCAUCGCGGUGGCGGAGCGUCGUUUGCGACGCCCAACACACAAAACAAGCGGUGAAUGCUUUGGGGUGGGGUGACUGCGUACCUUUUGUAUAAUGGGUCAGCGACUUAUAUUCUGUAGCAAGGUUAACCGAAUAGGGGAGCCGGAGGGAAACCGAGUCUUAAUUGGGCGUUAAGUUGCAGGGUAUAGACCCGAAACCCGGUGAUCUAGCCAUGGGCAGGUUGAAGGUUGGGUAACACUAACUGGAGGACCGAACCGACUAAUGUUGAAAAAUUAGCGGAUGACCUGUGGCUGGGGGUGAAAGGCCAAUCAAACCGGGAGAUAGCUGGUUCUCCCCGAAAGCUAUUUAGGUAGCGCCUCGUGAAUUCAUCUCCGGGGGUAGAGCACUGUUUCGGCUAGGGGGCCAUCCCGGCUUACCAACCCGAUGCAAACUGCGAAUACCGGAGAAUGUUAUCACGGGAGACACACGGCGGGUGCUAACGUCCGUCGUGAAGAGGGAAACAACCCAGACCGCCAGCUAAGGUCCCAAAGUCAUGGUUAAGUGGGAAACGAUGUGGGAAGGCCCAGACAGCCAGGAUGUUGGCUUAGAAGCAGCCAUCAUUUAAAGAAAGCGUAAUAGCUCACUGGUCGAGUCGGCCUGCGCGGAAGAUGUAACGGGGCUAAACCAU